AUACGUAGGGCGCAAGCGUUGCUCGGAUUCACUGGGCGUAAAGCGCGCGCAGGCGGCUUGAUAAGUUGGAUGUGAAAGUCUACGGCUCAACCGUAGAACUGCAUCCAAAACUGUCAAGCUAGAGUCUGGGAGGGGAAGAUGGAAUUAGUUGUGUAGGGGUAAAAUCCGUAGAGAUAACUAGGAAUACCAAAAGCGAAGGCGAUCUUCUGGAACAGUACUGACGCUGAGGCGCGAAAGCGUGGGGAGCAAACAGGAUUAGAAACCCCAGUAGUCC
rnacentral:rRNA from 1 species